rnacentral:rRNA from 1 species
UACGUAGGGUCCGAGCGUUGUCCGGAGUUACUGGGCGUAAAGGGCGCGCAGGCGGCGGUGCUGGCCCGGCGUGAAAGCCCCGGCUCAACCGGGAGGGUCGUCGGGACCGCACCGCUUGAGGGCGGUAGGGCCGGUGGAAUGCCUGGUGUAGUGGUGAAAUGCGUAGAGAUCAGGCAGAACACCUGGGCGAAGGCGGCCGGGCUGGGCCGACCCUGACGCUGAGGCGCGAAGGCGUGGGAGCGAACGGG